rnacentral:rRNA from 1 species
CCUACGGGUGGCAGCAGUGGGGAAUAUUGGGCAAUGGACGAGAGUCUGAACCAGCCAAGUAGCGUGAAGGAUGACUGCCCUAUGGGUUGUAAACUUCUUUUAUAUGGGAAUAAAAUGUUCCACGUGUGGGAUUUUGUAUGUACCAUAUGAAUAAGGAUCGGCUAACUCCGUGCCAGCAGCCGCGGUAAUACGGAGGAUCCGAGCGUUAUCCGGAUUUAUUGGGUUUAAAGGGAGCGUAGGUGGAUUGUUAAGUCAGUUGUGAAAGUUUGCGGCUCAACCGUAAAAUUGCAGUUGAAACUGGCAGUCUUGAGUACAGUAGAGGUGGGCGGAAUUCGUGGUGUAGCGGUGAAAUGCUUAGAUAUCACGAAGAACUCCGAUUGCGAAGGCAGUUCACUGGACUGCAACUGACACUGAGGCUCGAAAGUGUGGGUAUCAAACAGGAUUAGAUACCCGGGUAGUC